AUUCAGUGUUCUGGUUUUAUAAAUUGGAAACUUCUCUUUUGAAGUAUUUGUGUGGUUUCCCAGUGUCCUUCAUAUGAUCUAAAUUUAGGGUUCUGUAAAGGAACUACUUCCAGGAACACCUCCAAGUUGACUUGGGCUCGAUUUGAAAAGCUUUGUUGUUAGUACUAAAAUUGAAAAUGAGGAUUACCCUGAUUUCAGUAAAACAACCCAAAUUUUAUAAAUUGCCACUUCCAUAGCUUAAGUUGUAUAAUUGUUUAUAAGCUGUUUAUCUGAGGCAAUAUAUUUAGUGUUUACAGCUUAUAGAGCAUCUAUUUUUCUUCUGACAAUAGUAUAUCUGAUUAUGGCUUCUGACCAUCAUCUCUAUCUCCUAUUUCAGUUUAGUCUUUUUGAGCUUCCCUGUUUAAAGAUCCUUUAACUUAAUAACUUGAAUUAUCUAGUUUUAAAAUCUUGGCAGAGGAAUUUAUUGAAUAACAAAAUUCCUUCAAACCUCAGACAAGUUUGGUCUUAGCAAUAAAUAAGUUAUUUUGAUCAAUCUAUUCUCUUCAGCAACUUGUACUCUUAAUUGGAGAAACUAUUAAACAGGUGAAUAGUUAAUUUCUAAUGAUUUUUUUUUCCUGUCACCCAGGCUGGAGUGCAGUGGCAUGAUUUUGGCUCACUGCAACCUCUGCCUCCGGGGUUCAAGCGAUUCUCCUGCCUCAGCCUCCUGAGUAGUUGGGAUUAUAGGUGUGUGCUGUCACGCCUGGCUGAUUUUUUGUAAUUUAGUAGAGACAGGGUUUCACCACGUUGGCCAGGCUGGUCUCGAACUCCUGGCCUGAAACAAUCCUCCCACCUCAGCCUCCCAAAGUGUUGGGAUUACAGGCACGAGCCACUGCGCCCUGCCUCUAAUGAAUUUUUAUGGGUGAUAUAGGUGUAUGAAUGAGCAUAUGAACAAGUUACUUGAAACUGGGAUGGUCAAGAAAGGCUUUACAAAAGAAUUUGUUAGAGUAGGACAUGGAAUGGUGGAGAGAGAUUGGGAUGGACGUGUCAGGCAGACAAGCAUAAGUAAGAAUAUAGCAGCUUAUGGAUUGAUGGGAAAGAUAAGAUGCAAACUGAAGCCUGGAAUACUAGUAAAAUGAUUGGGUCAACAAAAAUAGGGAAUCCUGAAGGGUAGGCCAGUUUGAGGGGUGGAGAGUGGAAACAGAUCAUUUGGGGCACAUUGAUAGCAGUCAUUUAUUGACUGUCUACUUCAAGCCAAGGAUUCUGCCAAGUACUGUACACACAUUGUCUCAUUUAAGUCUCACCACAGACCAUAAUUUGACAGUUUAGUGAUAGAGCCACAGUUCUAACCAGGCCUUUGUCCCAGCUAAGGCUCUCUUGGUUACCGUACUCGUGGAGGCUAGGAAUGAGAUUAAAGCUGCAAACCUGAAAAAAUGGGCAAUGGAUUUCAAACUAUAGUUUAUGAACAUUGGCAGUACUUGGGAAAUGUACAGGCCCUUGGUACCUCCCUAGACAUUCUGGAAUUUGUUAGGACCAGCAUGACUUAGGAGUCUUUGUUCUUUUACAAACCCCUCAGGUAAUUCUGAUAUAUUCUGUGGUCAGUGGGCCAUGUGUUGAGCAACACUGGCCCAUAGAGAGUAGAGUACUAAGGUAAACUUAGGAUAAUGUCAUAUUUGAGGCAUGGGAAGAGAAGAUGGUGCUGGAAAAAAGCCUAGAUAGGAAAAAAAGAAUUGUGUUGUCUCAGAAACUGAGAGGAGCUUCUAGAAGAUAACUUUAAAGCUGUUGCAGCAGGCAAGGAGAACAAAACUGCAAUUGCCAUGGAAUUUAUUACUUAAAAUUGCCACUUAAGUAACAUAACAGUUUUCUAGUCAUGUAAUUAUUUCUCCAAGAAACUCAAUCUAGAUUACUAUUUAAUUUUGCCUCAUAACAGUCCUGAAGAUGGGCCACUGUUUUGUUUAUGAAAUGCUAAAGGGACACCAGAAAAGUUUUGUGACUAACUGAAGGAUACACAGCCAGGAACUGAUUGAGGUAUCUUUGAGUUUUCAGAUGUCUAUCUAAAAAUACUGUGACUAUAGUCUUAAAAUUGAAAGUGAUGCUGGGAUUGAGUGUGUACACAUGAAACUUAUUUCCAUUAAUGGACCAUCACCUAUAUCUACUACUCCUAAGUUAUCAAUAGGAUUGAGACAAAGGCAUUAUAGGUAAAGUUGAGUGUAUCUUUGUCCUGUAAAUGAUUAUUUUGAAUUACAGUAUCUAUACUGCAUUUGUGUUUGAUAAGUAUAGCCAAUGAACUAUUCAAAUAUUUGAGUACAUAUUAUAUAUCAGACAUUAUUCUAGAUCUUGGGAGUGUCUUUGUGAAAAAAAAAAAGAGACGUUUUUCUCUUUUCUUGUGGAGCUUACAGUCUGGUGGAAGAAAGGAGGUGGUAAGCUAUAAAUUAGGGCCUUUAGGCUCCAGACAAAGGGUUUGGAUUGUAUUCUAAGUGCUGAUUGCUAUGGGAAGACAUUGUAGGUUUUUAAGCAGAGAGUGAUGUGAUUUGAUCAAUAUUUGACUACCUGUCUGAGGAAAGUAAUAAAUUUCCUUCAAAUGCCAAAGAAAAUAAGUUACUUAGCAUUUCACAGAUUCUCUGUCAGAUUGUAACUAUGUUCCUGUUCAGAGAUCAGCACUGUUCUUUUAUUUAAAUACAAUAAUAAAGAUUUUAUUUCUUUUUAGGGCUCAUAGUUGUUGACCAUUCUGAACUUUCAAAGCAGUCUCCCUUCUGAAGAUGCCUCAUUUUCUGAAUGUGCUGCUUCAUAUUUUCUGCUUUCAAUAAACUGUCAUGACAGUUUCCACUGUAGUCAUAUAUAUGACUGAUAUAACACACUGACCAUGCUUUCUAUAUUUCAUAACUUGCAGUUUUUCUAGUGAUAUUUAACCAGACUCCCUUGCUAAAAAAUAGUUUAGAGGGUCUUUUUGUGAAAUGGCUGUUAUCCUAUGCAAAUAAGAUACAUGUGUGUAUACAGUUUUUAAGUGCUGAAUUUAUCUGACCUUUCUGAGGUAACCAGCAGAUUCCUUUUUACCUAGGAAAAGGACUUAAUGAAAAAUUUUUAUGCAUAAGCCUAAGUCAUUACACUAGUGUCUGCAAUAUAAUUAUUACAGGUAAAAUUAUUAACACUUUGGGAUGCUGUAUUCGUAUAUGUUUUUUAUUACACAGUUUAAGACCUAUUGGGAAAAUUAAUGUUUCAUAAAAUUGAUUUUCAUUUUAGCAUAUAGAAAUUGACUAUCAGAGGCCAGGCACAGUGGCUCACGCCUGUAAUCCCAGCACUGUGGGAGGCCAAGGUGGUUGGAUCAUGAGGUCAGGAAUUUGAGACCAGCUUGGCCAACAUAGUAAAACGUGUCUCUACUAAAAAUACAAAAAAUUAGCCGGGCGUGGUGGCGCAUGCCUGUAAUCCCAGCUAUUCGGGAGGCUGAGGCAGGAGAAUUGCUUGAACCCGGGAGGUAGAGGUUGCAGUGAGCCGAGAUCACACCAUUGCACUCCAGCCCGGGUGACAGUGCGAGACUCCGUCUCAAAAAAAAAAAAAAAAUUGCCUAUCAGGCUGGGCGCUGAGUCUUGCACCUGUAAUCCCAGCGCUUUGGGAGGCCGAGGUGGGAGGAUUGCUUGAGCCCAGGAGUGCAAGACGUAUCUCUUAAAAAAAAAAAAAAAAAAAAAAAUUGAGUAUCAAUAGUUUUACCUAGCUCCCAAGAUAAGUAUCUUUCUUUCUUUCUUUUUUUGUGAUGGAGUCUUGCACUGUCGCCCUGGCUGUAGUGCAAUGGCGUGAUCUUGGCUCACUGCAACCUCUGCCUCCUGGGUUCAAGCGAUUCUCCUGCCUCAGCCUCCGGAGUAGCUGCAAUUAUAGGUGCCUGCCACCACACCCGGCUAAUUUUUUGUAUUUUUAGUAGUGUUGGGGUUUCACUCUGUUCACUAGGCUGGUCUUGAACUCCUGACCUCGUGAUCUGCCCACCUUGGCCUCCCAAAGUGCUGGGAUUACAGGCAUGAGCCAUCGCGCCCAGCCUACGAUAAGUAUCUUAAUAUAUGCCAUUUGUGUAUAUUUAUGUACAGAAACACUUCAGUAAACUAGACCCCUUAAUUGUAAUUUUUCUGCAUUCUAUGGCAGAGGUCUCAACUCUGGCUGUACAAUGGAAUCACCUGAGGAACUUUAAUACCAAUGACUGGGGCCCACUCUCAGAGAUUCAUAUAAAUUGAUGUAGAUUGAGUGGGUUUCUGCAAAGGCCCAGUUUUGUUUUCAUUUUGUUUUAAGUGCUCCCAGGUGAUUGUAACGUGCAGUCAGGGUUGACAACCACUGCUCUAGAGACACAUUUUAUACCUACAAACACACACAAUCAGCCUUUUAAGGAUUGCUUGAAAAUCAAAACACAAAACUUUGAGAAUGUAAUUUGGGUUCAGUACAGUAUGUAUAUUGCUCGGUCUUCUAGAAUCUGUUAUUGAAGUGUGGUCCUCAGACCAACAGCAUUAGUCUCAGCCGGAAGCUUAUUAGAAAUGCAGAAUUGCAGGGCCUUAUCCCAAACCCACUGAAUGGAACAAGAUCGUC
rnacentral:lncRNA from 1 species